rnacentral:rRNA from 1 species
GUGGGGAAUAUUGGACAAUGGGCGAAAGCCUGAUCCAGCCAUGCCGCGUGUGUGAAGAAGGUCUUCGGAUUGUAAAGCACUUUAAGUUGGGAGGAAGGGCAGUAAGUUAAUACCUUGCUGUUUUGACGUUACCGACAGAAUAAGCACCGGCUAACUUCGUGCCAGCAGCCGCGGUAAUACGAAGGGUGCAAGCGUUAAUCGGAAUUACUGGGCGUAAAGCGCGCGUAGGUGGUUUUGUAAGUUGGAGGUGAAAUCCCCGGGCUCAACCUUGGAACUGCAUCCAAAACUGCAUGACUAGAGUACGGUAGAGGGUAGAGGAAUUUCCUGUGUAGCGGUGAAAUGCGUAGAUAUAGGAAGGAACACCAGUGGCGAAGGAGACUACCUGGACUGAUACUGACACUGAGGUGCGAAAGCGUGGGGAGCAAACAGGAUUAGAAACCCUUGUAGUCC